rnacentral:rRNA from 2 species
GGUUAAGCGACUAAGCGUACACGGUGGAUGCCCUGGCAGUCAGAGGCGAUGAAGGGCGUGCUAAUCUGCGAUAAGCGCCGGUAAGGUGAUAUGAACCGUUAUAACCGGCGAUACCCGAAUGGGGAAACCCAGUGUGACUCGUCACACUAUCAUUAACUGAAUCCAUAGGUUAAUGAGGCGAACCGGGGGAACUGAAACAUCUAAGUACCCCGAGGAAAAGAAAUCAACCGAGAUUCCCCCAGUAGCGGCGAGCGAACGGGGAGGAGCCCAGAGCCUGAAUCAGCAUGUGUGUUAGUGGAAGCGUCUGGAAAGGCGCGCGAUACAGGGUGACAGCCCCGUACACAAAAGCGCAUGUGCUGUGAGCUCGAUGAGUAGGGCGGGACACGUGGUAUCCUGUCUGAAUAUGGGGGGACCAUCCUCCAAGGCUAAAUACUCCUGACUGACCGAUAGUGAACCAGUACCGUGAGGGAAAGGCGAAAAGAACCCCGGCGAGGGGAGUGAAAAAGAACCUGAAACCGUGUACGUACAAGCAGUGGGAGCCCCACCACUAAGCCAGUGGUGAACUCCACAUCCGCAUCCUUUGCUGAGGAUACGGUUAACGGAGCGAAAGCGACGUUCAACCGCAAAACAAGCAGAGGGGGCUUAGUGGUGGGGUGACUGCGUACCUUUUGUAUAAUGGGUCAGCGACUUAUAUUCUGUAGCAAGGUUAACCGAAUAGGGGAGCCGGAGGGAAACCGAGUCUUAAUUGGGCGUUAAGUUGCAGGGUAUAGACCCGAAACCCGGUGAUCUAGCCAUGGGCAGGUUGAAGGUUGGGUAACACUAACUGGAGGACCGAACCGACUAAUGUUGAAAAAUUAGCGGAUGACCUGUGGCUGGGGGUGAAAGGCCAAUCAAACCGGGAGAUAGCUGGUUCUCCCCGAAAGCUAUUUAGGUAGCGCCUCGUGAAUUCAUCUCCGGGGGUAGAGCACUGUUUCGGCUAGGGGGCCAUCCCGGCUUACCAACCCGAUGCAAACUGCGAAUACCGGAGAAUGUUAUCACGGGAGACACACGGCGGGUGCUAACGUCCGUCGUGAAGAGGGAAACAACCCAGACCGCCAGCUAAGGUCCCAAAGUCAUGGUUAAGUGGGAAACGAUGUGGGAAGGCCCAGACAGCCAGGAUGUUGGCUUAGAAGCAGCCAUCAUUUAAAGAAAGCGUAAUAGCUCACUGGUCGAGUCGGCCUGCGCGGAAGAUGUAACGGGGCUAAACCAUGCACCGAAGCUGCGGCAGCGACGCUGAUGCGUUGUUGGGUAGGGGAGCGUUCUGUAAGCCUGUGAAGGUGUGUCGUGAGGCAUGCUGGAGGUAUCAGAAGUGCGAAUGCUGACAUAAGUAACGAUAAAGCGGGUGAAAAGCCCGCUCGCCGGAAGACCAAGGGUUCCUGUCCAACGUUAAUCGGGGCAGGGUGAGUCGACCCCUAAGGCGAGGCCGAAAGGCGUAGUCGAUGGGAAACGGGUUAAUAUUCCCGUACUUGGUGUUACUGCGAAGGGGGGACGGAGAAGGCUAUGUUGGCCGGGCGACGGUUGUCCCGGUUUAAGCGUGUAGGUGUGUGUUCCAGGUAAAUCCGGUUCACUUUAACACUGAGGCGUGACGACGAGGCACUACGGUGCUGAAGCAACAAAUGCCCUGCUUCCAGGAAAAGCCUCUAAGCAUCAGGUAACACGAAAUCGUACCCCAAACCGACACAGGUGGUCAGGUAGAGAAUACCAAGGCGCUUGAGAGAACUCGGGUGAAGGAACUAGGCAAAAUGGUGCCGUAACUUCGGGAGAAGGCACGCUGACACGUAGGUGAAGUGAUUUACUCAUGGAGCUGAAGUCAGUCGAAGAUACCAGCUGGCUGCAACUGUUUAUUAAAAACACAGCACUGUGCAAACACGAAAGUGGACGUAUACGGUGUGACGCCUGCCCGGUGCCGGAAGGUUAAUUGAUGGGGUCAGCGCAAGCGAAGCUCCUGAUCGAAGCCCCGGUAAACGGCGGCCGUAACUAUAACGGUCCUAAGGUAGCGAAAUUCCUUGUCGGGUAAGUUCCGACCUGCACGAAUGGCGUAAUGAUGGCCAGGCUGUCUCCACCCGAGACUCAGUGAAAUUGAACUCGCUGUGAAGAUGCAGUGUACCCGCGGCAAGACGGAAAGACCCCGUGAACCUUUACUAUAGCUUGACACUGAACAUUGAGCCUUGAUGUGUAGGAUAGGUGGGAGGCUUUGAAGUGUGGACGCCAGUCUGCAUGGAGCCGACCUUGAAAUACCACCCUUUAAUGUUUGAUGUUCUAACGUGGACCCGUAAUCCGGGUUGCGGACAGUGUCUGGUGGGUAGUUUGACUGGGGCGGUCUCCUCCUAAAGAGUAACGGAGGAGCACGAAGGUUGGCUAAUCCUGGUCGGACAUCAGGAGGUUAGUGCAAUGGCAUAAGCCAGCUUGACUGCGAGCGUGACGGCGCGAGCAGGUGCGAAAGCAGGUCAUAGUGAUCCGGUGGUUCUGAAUGGAAGGGCCAUCGCUCAACGGAUAAAAGGUACUCCGGGGAUAACAGGCUGAUACCGCCCAAGAGUUCAUAUCGACGGCGGUGUUUGGCACCUCGAUGUCGGCUCAUCACAUCCUGGGGCUGAAGUAGGUCCCAAGGGUAUGGCUGUUCGCCAUUUAAAGUGGUACGCGAGCUGGGUUUAGAACGUCGUGAGACAGUUCGGUCCCUAUCUGCCGUGGGCGCUGGAGAACUGAGGGGGGCUGCUCCUAGUACGAGAGGACCGGAGUGGACGCAUCACUGGUGUUCGGGUUGUCAUGCCAAUGGCACUGCCCGGUAGCUAAAUGCGGAAGAGAUAAGUGCUGAAAGCAUCUAAGCACGAAACUUGCCCCGAGAUGAGUUCUCCCUGAGACUUUAGGUCUCCUGAAGGAACGUUGAAGACGACGACGUUGAUAGGCCGGGUGUGUAAGCGCAGCGAUGCGUUGAGCUAACCGGUACUAAUGAACCGUGAGGCUUAACCUU